UUAAAUUUAUGCAUUAAUUUUUUUUUUUGUGAAAAAUAUAUUUUUAUAAUAAAAAAUUAAUUAAUUCUUACUUUUAUUAAAAAAAAUUUAAUAUUUAUAUUUAUGUAAAUGGACAUUUUAUGUAGACUAUUGAGUGAGUUGGUAAGAAAUAUUUUUAGAGAAUUAGAUUUUGUCAAGUGCAAUUGUAAGAACAUUAAUUUAUUAUAUUUUUUUAUAUGUUGGCCCCGAAAAUUUUUUUUUCCUGGAUCUGCCACUCUUCGUUUCUUUUUGUAUUUGCAUAGCUAAAUUCUUGAAUUAUUUUAAGCUGAAGGGGAAGGAUUGUCCUGUCCAUCCCUUGCCAAGCCGACAAAAAAGCACUUAAUCAGAUGGUACAUUUUACCUUCUUAAUUUUCAAGCAGUGGCAUUGAUGCGAAGUAAUAGGUUAAAAAAGGCUGAUUCAACUUUGUUCAAUCAUAGAACUUGAUCUUUCCAGGAAAUGCAACUUCUUCUUAUGGCCUCAAACCUUAUGGAUGUUUCCAUGAUAGUUGUAUUGAUCCAUCCUUUGUCACUGUGGCCUUGCGGAGUUUACAGUUUGGUGACCAUCUUCAUAUUUUUAUUACUCCUUUGAGUGCACAUGUUUUGCAUGGUUUAUAUGUCCGAUUCUUAAUAAUAAGAUGGUUCUUAAAGGAUUAGUACUUCUGUACUAACACUGUUGGAAAGCUACCAAGGAAGGUGAUGGCCAACAAGAAAACAAGGCUCUUGAUAUUUGCAGCCAUGAUGCGACCGCACCAUAUGUGGUGGUUCGUGUAUGCGGGCUCCCUUCUGUGUUUCACUUGGCUCCACCUAUAUGGACGGUGCCCUAAUGGAUAAGCAAUAGGCAGAGAAUCAGAUACUUUGUGUCUCAGCAAUAUAUACGAAUCAAAUGUUGGAGGCUAUUUUUCUUCUACGAGCCAAUGAGCCAGUGCCGACAUUCCCAGGAAAAACAAUUUUCGAGCCCCGCAACAACUGCUGUCAUGUUUGUCUAUUUUGCUUUCUUUCUAAGUUUACCCAAAUUUCAGUUCACAAUGUAAUGACCUGGAUCAAGAACUCCACUGACAUGAAGUGCUCUGGUUGCAAGA